rnacentral:tRNA from 1 species
CGGGAUAUGGCGCAGUCUGGCAGCGCAUCUGCUUUGGGAGCAGAGGGUCGCAGGUUCAAAUCCUGCUAUCCCGA